AGUGAACGCUGGCGGUAGGCCUAACACAUGCAAGUCGAACGGCAGCACAGGAGAGCUUGCUCUCUGGGUGGCGAGUGGCGGACGGGUGAGGAAUACAUCGGAAUCUACUUUUUCGUGGGGGAUAACGUAGGGAAACUUACGCUAAUACCGCAUACGACCUACGGGUGAAAGCAGGGGAUCUUCGGACCUUGCGCGAUUGAAUGAGCCGAUGUCGGAUUAGCUAGUUGGCGGGGUAAAGGCCCACCAAGGCGACGAUCCGUAGCUGGUCUGAGAGGAUGAUCAGCCACACUGGAACUGAGGCACGGUCCAGACUCCUACGGGAGGCAGCAGUGGGGAAUAUUGGACAAUGGGCGCAAGCCUGAUCCAGCCAUACCGCGUGGGUGAAGAAGGCCUUCGGGUUGUAAAGCCCUUUUGUUGGGAAAGAAAUCCAGCUGGUUAAUACCCGGUUGGGAUGACGGUACCCAAAGAAUAAGCACCGGCUAACUUCGUGCCAGCAGCCGCCGCCG
rnacentral:rRNA from 1 species